rfam:Candida arabinofermentans NRRL YB-2248 unplaced genomic scaffold CANARscaffold_1, whole genome shotgun sequence.
UUCCUCAUAGCGUAAUGGUUAUCGCGUUCGGCUACGAACCGAAAGACUCCAGGUUCGAGUCCUGGUGGGGAAG